rnacentral:rRNA from 1 species
GAUGAACGCUGGCGGCGUGCCUAAUACAUGCAAGUCGAGCGAACGGACGAGAAGCUUGCUUCUCUGAUGUUAGCGGCGGACGGGUGAGUAACACGUGGAUAACCUACCUAUAAGACUGGGAUAACUUCGGGAAACCGGAGCUAAUACCGGAUAAUAUUUUGAACCGCAUGGUUCAAAAGUGAAAGACGGUCUUGCUGUCACUUAUAGAUGGAUCCGCGCUGCAUUAGCUAGUUGGUAAGGUAACGGCUUACCAAGGCAACGAUGCAUAGCCGACCUGAGAGGGUGAUCGGCCACACUGGAACUGAGACACGGUCCAGACUCCUACGGGAGGCAGCAGUAGGGAAUCUUCCGCAAUGGGCGAAAGCCUGACGGAGCAACGCCGCGUGAGUGAUGAAGGUCUUCGGAUCGUAAAACUCUGUUAUUAGGGAAGAACAUAUGUGUAAGUAACUGUGCACAUCUUGACGGUACCUAAUCAGAAAGCCACGGCUAACUACGUGCCAGCAGCCGCGGUAAUACGUAGGUGGCAAGCGUCAUCCGGAAUUAUUGGGCGUAAAGCGCGCGUAGGCGGUUUUUUAAGUCUGAUGUGAAAGCCCACGGCUCAACCGUGGAGGGUCAUUGGAAACUGGAAAACUUGAGUGCAGAAGAGGAAAGUGGAAUUCCAUGUGUAGCGGUGAAAUGCGCAGAGAUAUGGAGGAACACCAGUGGCGAAGGCGACUUUCUGGUCUGUAACUGACGCUGAUGUGCGAAAGCGUGGGGAUCAAACAGGAUUAGAUACCCUGGUAGUCCACGCCGUAAACGAUGAGUGCUAAGUGUUAGGGGGUUUCCGCCCCUUAGUGCUGCAGCUAACGCAUUAAGCACUCCGCCUGGGGAGUACGACCGCAAGGUUGAAACUCAAAGGAAUUGACGGGGACCCGCACAAGCGGUGGAGCAUGUGGUUUAAUUCGAAGCAACGCGAAGAACCUUACCAAAUCUUGACAUCCUUUGACAACUCUAGAGAUAGAGCCUUCCCCUUCGGGGGGGCAAAGUGACAGGUGGCGCAUGGUUGUCGUCAGCUCGUGUCGUGAGAUGUUGGGUUAAGUCCCGCAACGAGCGCAACCCUUAAGCUUAGUUGCCAUCAUUAAGUUGGGCACUCUAAGUUGACUGCCGGUGACAAACCGGAGGAAGGUGGGGAUGACGUCAAAUCAUCAUGCCCCUUAUGAUUUGGGCUACACACGUGCUACAAUGGACAAUACAAAGGGCAGCGAAACCGCGAGGUCAAGCAAAUCCCAUAAAGUUGUUCUCAGUUCGGAUUGUAGUCUGCAACUCGACUACAUGAAGCUGGAAUCGCUAGUAAUCGUAGAUCAGCAUGCUACGGUGAAUACGUUCCCGGGUCU